rnacentral:rRNA from 1 species
UACGUAGGGUGCAAGCGUUGUCCGGAAUUAUUGGGCGUAAAGAGCUCGUAGGCGGUGUGUCGCGUCGGCCGUGAAAACCUGCAGCUUAACUGUGGGCUUGCGGUCGAUACGGGGCAUCACUGGAGUUCGGCAGGGGAGACUGGAAUUCCUGGUGUAGCGGUGAAAUGCGCAGAUAUCAGGAGGAACACCAAUUGCGAAGGCAGCUCGCUGGGACGUUACUGACGCUGAGACGCGAAAGCGUGGGGGAGCAAACAGG